UACGAAGGGGGCUAGCGUUGCUCGGAAUCACUGGGCGUAAAGGGUGCGUAGGCGGGUCUUUAAGUCAGGGGUGAAAUCCUGGAGCUCAACUCCAGAACUGCCUUUGAUACUGAGGAUCUCGAGUCCGGGAGAGGUGAGUGGAACUCCGAGUGUAGAGGUGAAAUUCGUAGAUAUCAAGUGGAACACCAGUGGCGAAGGCGAGUCUCUGGACAUUUCCUGACGCUGAGGCACGAAAGCCAGGGGAGCAAACGGG
rnacentral:rRNA from 1 species